rnacentral:snRNA from 1 species
GUGCUCACUUCGGCAGCACAUAUACUAAAAUGAUGGGAGAUACUGAG